rnacentral:lncRNA from 1 species
ACUGCAAAUACCUCCUUUGUGAAAGUGGAUUUAUCAUAGCCAGUCUGUGUUUCCAAAGUGAGUUAGACAGUUAUUUAAAAGCAAUUGAUAAUUUUUUGAGACUUCAGUUGUUUAAUACAUGGAGGAAUGUGCACUGAUUUUUCACUGUAAAGGGGAAAGGGCUGUUGUAACAACAGUAUGAGCAUCAGCCUGAAGCACUGCCUUGUAUACCACAAUGGAAACAGUUUAGAUUCCUUGAAUGUCUUCCACAGUAAUGUUUUCUUUAGCAGAACAUGAUACUGUUAAGUAUUUCUUUGCUAUAACUUCGUGAGAAAUUACUUUGUUAUCUCUAUUUGUUGAUUUUUUUUAAAAAAUAAGGAUAUUUUAUUGCACUUGAACAUUUUUUACAAAGAUUUUGCAAUAGAAGAGAAGCAGAAUUUGGGGGAAGAGUAUGGAUUUUACUAAUUGCUGCUUUAUAGUAAAUAAGAAGUUUUAAAGUGUCAAUUUACAGUCUUUACCAACUUAAGGGAAACUUUUUUUCCCUAUUUAAAAUGUGAUUUUUGUCAAUGGGAUUUUUUUUCUAUAAUGACAGCUGGGUAAACUACAUUUAGUACAGAAUAGUCAAAUGGAAAAAUCAGUAGGUUUAUACCUUUAUAAACCCGCUGAAGAAAGCCAAGGAUUCGAGAAAUUCUUUUAAGUAAUGUACUAAUGGUUAAUUAAGAUACAUGUUUGAAGUAUUUUUCCUGAUUACAUUUACAGUUGUAUUUGGAAGUGUUUUUUAAAAACUACAUUAAAAUGUGGCCUGCAUUAC